AGUUCCGACCUGCACGAAUGGCGUAAUGAUGGCCAGGCUGUCUCCACCCGAGACUCAGUGAAAUUGAACUCGCUGUGAAGAUGCAGUGUACCCGCGGCAAGACGGAAAGACCCCGUGAACCUUUACUAUAGCUUGACACUGAACAUUGAGCCUUGAUGUGUAGGAUAGGUGGGAGGCUUUGAAGUGUGGACGCCAGUCUGCAUGGAGCCGACCUUGAAAUACCACCCUUUAAUGUUUGAUGUUCUAACGUGGACCCGUAAUCCGGGUUGCGGACAGUGUCUGGUGGGUAGUUUGACUGGGGCGGUCUCCUCCUAAAGAGUAACGGAGGAGCACGAAGGUUGGCUAAUCCUGGUCGGACAUCAGGAGGUUAGUGCAAUGGCAUAAGCCAGCUUGACUGCGAGCGUGACGGCGCGAGCAGGUGCGAAAGCAGGUCAUAGUGAUCCGGUGGUUCUGAAUGGAAGGGCCAUCGCUCAACGGAUAAAAGGUACUCCGGGGAUAACAGGCUGAUACCGCCCAAGAGUUCAUAUCGACGGCGGUGUUUGGCACCUCGAUGUCGGCUCAUCACAUCCUGGGGCUGAAGUAGGUCCCAAGGGUAUGGCUGUUCGCCAUUUAAAGUGGUACGCGAGCUGGGUUUAGAACGUCGUGAGACAGUUCGGUCCCUAUCUGCCGUGGGCGCUGGAGAACUGAGGGGGGCUGCUCCUAGUACGAGAGGACCGGAGUGGACGCAUCACUGGUGUUCGGGUUGUCAUGCCAAUGGCACUGCCCGGUAGCUAAAUGCGGAAGAGAUAAGUGCUGAAAGCAUCUAAGCACGAAACUUGCCCCGA
rnacentral:rRNA from 1 species